rnacentral:rRNA from 1 species
CCUACGGGAGGCAGCAGUGAGGAAUAUUGGUCAAUGGGCGCGAGCCUGAACCAGCCAAGUCGCGUGAAGGAUGACUGCCCUACGGGUUGUAAACUUCUUUUAUAAAGGAAUAAAGUGAGCCACGUGUGCCUUUUUGUAUGUACUUUAUGAAUAAGCAUCGGCUAACUCCGUGCCAGCAGCCGCGGUAAUACGGAGGAUCCGAGCGUUAUCCGGAUUUAUUGGGUUUAAAGGGAGCGUAGAUGGGUUGUUAAGUCAGUUGUGAAAGUUUGCGGCUCAACCGUAAAAUUGCAGUUGAUACUGGCAGACUUGAGUGUAGUUGAGGUAGGCGGAAUGCGUGGUGUAGCGGUGAAAUGCAUAGAUAUCACGAAGAACUCCGAUUGCGAAGGCAGCUUACUAAGCUGCCACUGACAUUGAUGCUCGAAAGUGUGGGGAUCAAACAGGAUUAGAUACCCUAGUAGUC